rnacentral:rRNA from 1 species
UGGGGAAUUUUGGACAAUGGGCGAAAGCCUGAUCCAGCAAUGCCGCGUGUGUGAAGAAGGCCUUCGGGUUGUAAAGCACUUUUGUCCGGAAAGAAAUCCUUGGCUCUAAUACAGUCGGGGGAUGACGGUACCGGAAGAAUAAGCACCGGCUAACUACGUGCCAGCAGCCGCGGUAAUACGUAGGGUGCAAGCGUUAAUCGGAAUUACUGGGCGUAAAGCGUGCGCAGGCGGUUUGCUAAGACCGAUGUGAAAUCCCCGGGGCUCAACCUGGGAACUGCAUUGGGUGACUGGGCAGGGCUAGAGUAUGGCAGAGGGGGGUAGAAUUCCACGUGUAGCAGUGAAAUGCGUAGAGAUGUGGAGGAAUACCGAUGGCGAAGGCAGCCCCCUGGGCCAAUACUGACGCUCAUGCACGAAAGCGUGGGGAGCAAACAGGAUUAGAUACCCUGGUAGUCCACGCCCUAAACGAUGUCAACUAGUUGUUGGGGAUUCAUUUCCUUAGUAACGUAGCUAACGCGUGAAGUUGACCGCCUGGGGAGUACGGUCGCAAGAUUAAAACUUAAAUGAAUUGNC